GUCGAGAGCGCCUCACCUCCAGCCCACGCUUAUCGGUGCGAGUGUUUCUCGCGCAACUGUUCGGGCGUUUGGAAGUGAGUACCCGGUGUGCGGCCCCUGCUGAAUUACGGUGCUGCUGACACCGAGGCGUUAUCGGGCGCGCACACCGGGCUCUCGACGUCUA
rnacentral:sRNA from 1 species